UGGCUAGUCUCUAUUAUCAAGAUGCUUUCCUUUAAACUCCCUUUUAAUGAGUAAUGUCUUCAAAAUCAUUAUUGCCAAUAUAUACACAUAUAUUUUCAAUGGGUUAUGGCCUCUUUCUUGCAAAAAAUGCAGUCCUGCUCUGUGCAGCAAUCGUCAGGCUUGCUCUAAUCCAUAAAUAUGAAAUUAAGUUCAAUAAUUUGUUUUAUGCAGGACCUAUACCUAUUAUUGCUCUUGGUUUUAUUGCAGUAAUGCUGCCUUUCAGCACUUAUCGAGCAUGGGUCUUCAUGGUUCUGCUCCUGCUUUGUAGCGUCCAUUCACUUCUUGCAGUACCAAUUCAGCCUGGUUCAGAACAGAGUGCAGAGGCAAGCAGCAAACCUAACAUGACAGUGAAGGGUGUAUUUGAAUCUUUCUUAAGCUUCUUCAGACCAAUGACUUGCCGCCUCAGCAAUGAGCGACUUUUAACUCCUUGUCCUUUAGAAGGCCUGAACAUGUCUGAAUGCUCAAAAAUUUACUGCUGUCCUUUCAAAAUUGGCCAGGAUGAGCAGUGCUACAUGCCAGUGAGAGAUGAUGUGCAGCUGGCCAUUCGAGUGAUUUUGCUUACCGGAGGAGGAUUUUUGAUUUUGGGAUUGCUACCAAUCUGUUGCUGUGCCUUUUUACAGAGAAGUCCAUGUAUCAAUCCUUUACAAAAGAUAAGCAAAAAAGUUCAGAAAAUUGCACGGGAAAAAAGAGCAUGUGAUGAAAAGACUCAUGAUGAAGAGAUUCAUCGCCACUUACUGGACUGACGUAAGAAAGAACCAAAAUAAUGAAAAAAAGAAGGGUGGUUCAUCAAGUCACAAAAAAGCAGACGGUGUACAAUAGAGAAAUGGUCACUCAGUAAAAAAGACAACAUAAUACAGCAUAUGAUGACAAGGCUUUAGAAGACUUACAAGAUAUACAAACCAUUGCUUAUGGCUUUAGCUCUGCUCUCUCUCCUAUUGAGCUGAUAGAGAGUGAAACAAAAAAUCUCUCAGUGGAACAUCCUUCUUUAUCUUCACAAAGAUUAAAUAAAUACAAGGCUAAACAACUUGGCCCA
rnacentral:lncRNA from 1 species